rnacentral:rRNA from 1 species
CCUACGGGAGGCAGCAGUAGGGAAUCUUCCGCAAUGGACGAAAGUCUGACGGAGCAACGCCGCGUGAACGAUGAAGGCCUUCGGGUCGUAAAGUUCUGUUGUUAGGGAAGAACAAGUGCUAGUUGAAUAAGCUGGCACCUUGACGGUACCUAACCAGAAAGCCACGGCUAACUACGUGCCAGCAGCCGCGGUAAUACGUAGGUGGCAAGCGUUGUCCGGAAUUAUUGGGCGUAAAGCGCGCGCAGGCGGUUUCUUAAGUCUGAUGUGAAAGCCCCCGGCUCAACCGGGGAGGGUCAUUGGAAACUGGGAAACUUGAGUGCAGAAGAGGAAAGUGGAAUUCCAAGUGUAGCGGUGAAAUGCGUAGAGAUUUGGAGGAACACCAGUGGCGAAGGCGACUUUCUGGUCUGUAACUGACGCUGAGGCGCGAAAGCGUGGGGAGCAAACAGGAUUAGAUACCCUGGUAGUCCACGCUGUAAACGAUGAGUGCUAAGUGUUAGAGGGUUUCCGCCCUUUAGUGCUGAAGUUAACGCAUUAAGCACUCCGCCUGGGGAGUACGGUCGCAAGACUGAAACUUAAUGAAUUGACGG